AGAGUGGUGCUCGAGCGGCUUAAGAGAGGAAUCUGCUAAAUUUCCAGGCGUAAAAAGCCUCGAGGGUUCGAAUCCCUUCCACUCUGCCA
rnacentral:tRNA from 1 species